CAUAUUUUAGAGAUUUAAUCUAUCACUAAAUAAUAAAAUAAAAUUACUUUCAAAUCCACUUUUAAAUUACAUUUAAGACAAUUAUCCAUAUAAAUAAAUUUAUUGUAACCCAUCUCUACUUGAGUAUAAACUGCAUCUUGAUCUGAUUUAAAUUUUAAUAAAAAAUAUUGACUAUUGAAAUUCUUCUAAAAUAAUCCUUAACGACGAUAUACAAACUUAAUUAAACAAGUAAAACUUAUUGUGGAAUAUCAAUUACAGGACAGGUUCCUCUGAAAAGACUAAAAUACCGCCAAAAUCUUUUGUUUUCAAGAACAUAUCUAUUAAUAACCUAGCAAAAAUUUUACAUUUAAAAUAAUAU
rnacentral:rRNA from 1 species